rnacentral:hammerhead_ribozyme from 1 species
AGCUCACCGAUGAGUCUUAUACAGACGAAACGCGCGUCUGACAU